rnacentral:misc_RNA from 1 species
UCCGGUUUGGCACCGGCAGUCCCUCUAGAGUCCUCGGCUUUACCCGUUAGUAACUAAAGAAAGGGGUUGCGCUCGUUGCGGGACUUAACCCAACAUCUCACGACACGGGCUGACGACAGCCAUGCAGCACCUGUGUUCCCGUUCCCUUUCGGGCACAGCCGGGUUUCACCCUUCUACUACCUACAUGUCAAGGCCAGGUAAGGUUCUUCGCGUUGCAUCGAAUUAAGCCACAUACUCCACCGCUUGUGCAGGCCCCCGUCAAUUUCUUUGAGUUUUAAUCUUGCGACCGUACUCCCCAGGCGGUCUACUUCACGCGUUAGCUGCGUUACCAAGUCAAUUAAGACCCGACAACUAGUAGACAUCGUUUAGGGCGUGGACUAC